rnacentral:rRNA from 1 species
UGGGGGAUAUUGCACAAUGGGCGAAAGCCUGAUGCAGCGACGCCGCGUGGGGGAUGAAGGCCUUCGGGUUGUAAACUUCUUUUGCUCUGAACAAGGCGCAUCAUGGGGUGUGUUGAGUGUAGGGGUUGAUUAGCGCCGGCUAACUACGUGCCAGCAGCCGCGGUAAUACGUAGGGCGCGAGCGUUGUCCGGAAUUAUUGGGCGUAAAGGGCUUGUAGGUGGCUGGUUGCGUCUGUCGUGAAAGCUCAUGGCUUAACUGUGGGUUUGCGGUGGGUACGGGCUGGCUUGAGUGCAGUAGGGGAGGCUGGAAUUCCUGGUGUAGCGGUGGAAUGCGCAGAUAUCAGGAGGAAUACCGGUGGCGAAGGCGGGUCUCUGGGCUGUUACUGACACUGAGGAGCGAAAGCAUGGGGAGCGAACAGG